rnacentral:rRNA from 2 species
GACGACGCUGGCGGCGUGCCUAAUACAUGCAAGUCGAACGAACUCUGGUAUUGAUUGGUGCUUGCAUCAUGAUUUACAUUUGAGUGAGUGGCGAACUGGUGAGUAACACGUGGGAAACCUGCCCAGAAGCGGGGGAUAACACCUGGAAACAGAUGCUAAUACCGCAUAACAACUUGGACCGCAUGGUCCGAGUUUGAAAGAUGGCUUCGGCUAUCACUUUUGGAUGGUCCCGCGGCGUAUUAGCUAGAUGGUGGGGUAACGGCUCACCAUGGCAAUGAUACGUAGCCGACCUGAGAGGGUAAUCGGCCACAUUGGGACUGAGACACGGCCCAAACUCCUACGGGAGGCAGCAGUAGGGAAUCUUCCACAAUGGACGAAAGUCUGAUGGAGCAACGCCGCGUGAGUGAAGAAGGGUUUCGGCUCGUAAAACUCUGUUGUUAAAGAAGAACAUAUCUGAGAGUAACUGUUCAGGUAUUGACGGUAUUUAACCAGAAAGCCACGGCUAACUACGUGCCAGCAGCCGCGGUAAUACGUAGGUGGCAAGCGUUGUCCGGAUUUAUUGGGCGUAAAGCGAGCGCAGGCGGUUUUUUAAAGUCUGAUGUGAAAGCCUUCGGCUCAACCGAAGAAGUGCAUCGGAAACUGGGAAACUUGAGUGCAGAAGAGGACAGUGGAACUCCAUGUGUAGCGGUGAAAUGCGUAGAUAUAUGGAAGAACACCAGUGGCGAAGGCGGCUGUCUGGUCUGUAACUGACGCUGAGGCUCGAAAGUAUGGGUAGCAAACAGGAUUAGAUACCCUGGUAGUCCAUACCGUAAACGAUGAAUGCUAAGUGUUGGAGGGUUUCCGCCCUUCAGUGCUGCAGCUAACGCAUUAAGCAUUCCGCCUGGGGAGUACGGCCGCAAGGCUGAAACUCAAAGGAAUUGACGGGGGCCCGCACAAGCGGUGGAGCAUGUGGUUUAAUUCGAAGCUACGCGAAGAACCUUACCAGGUCUUGACAUACUAUGCAAAUCUAAGAGAUUAGACGUUCCCUUCGGGGACAUGGAUACAGGUGGUGCAUGGUUGUCGUCAGCUCGUGUCGUGAGAUGUUGGGUUAAGUCCCGCAACGAGCGCAACCCUUAUUAUCAGUUGCCAGCAUUAAGUUGGGCACUCUGGUGAGACUGCCGGUGACAAACCGGAGGAAGGUGGGGAUGACGUCAAAUCAUCAUGCCCCUUAUGACCUGGGCUACACACGUGCUACAAUGGAUGGUACAACGAGUUGCGAACUCGCGAGAGUAAGCUAAUCUCUUAAAGCCAUUCUCAGUUCGGAUUGUAGGCUGCAACUCGCCUACAUGAAGUCGGAAUCGCUAGUAAUCGCGGAUCAGCAUGCCGCGGUGAAUACGUUCCCGGGCCUUGUACACACCGCCCGUCACACCAUGAGAGUUUGUAACACCCAAAGUCGGUGGGGUAACCUUUUAGGAACCAGCCGCCUAAGGUGGGACAGAUGAUUAGGGGAAGUCGAGCAA